UUCGUAUUCUACCUUGAGAAUGCCCAAUCUCUCAUUGUCUCAGAAGCUAAGCAGGGAUUGGCCUGGUUCGUGCUUGGAUGGGAGACUGCUGAGAAUAUCAGAUGCCAGAGU
ensembl:rRNA 5S_rRNA 5S ribosomal RNA